UAAUACUCCCUGUUUGGUUAA
ensembl:piRNA 21ur-2452 ncRNA